AAGACUAUACUUUCAGGGAUCAUUUCUAUAGUUCGUUACUAGAGAAGUUUCUCUGAUCGUGUAGAGCACCGAAGAAGGAACAAUUCUCCAGAUCUGUAGUGUUGUCUUUAUUUUAUUGUAAUAUGA
rnacentral:snoRNA from 1 species